GUGUUCUUACAAAGCCCCGCCCCUUCCGAGGUGAUGUUAAAAAGCUCAGCCAGCCUCCCCUCAUCAACACAACUCCACAGCAUCAGCACUGACAUCUGCUCCUAAAGCGGAAAACACUUCUCCCUGCUUCAACCCAGCGUUUAACCUUCAACUCUACAUCAACAAUGGAGCAUACAGUGAUCCAGGUUAUCGCCACAAUGAUGGUUUUCCUGACUCUGAGUUUCAAGCCAGUGUCGUCACAGGUUGACAUUACCAGGACAGGAUGUGGCUCUGAAAAUUUUUUUAU